AGCAGCCGCGGUAAUUCCAGCUCCAAUAGCGUAUAUUAAAGUUGUUGCAGUUAAAAAGCUCGUAGUUGAAUUUCGGGAUUGACACAUCGGUCGUGCCUUAAGGGGUAUGAACUGGUGUAGUCAAUUUCUCACCUUCUGGAGAACCGCGAUGUCCUUAAUUGGGUGCCGCGAGGAACCAGGACCUUUACUUUGAAAAAUUAGAGUGUUUAAAGCAGGCAUUUUGCUUGAAUACAUUAGCAUGGAAUAAUAAAAUAGGACGGAUGAUUCUAUUUUGUUGGUUUCUAGGACCACCGUAAUGAUUAAUAGGGAUAGUUGGGGGCAUUAGUAUUCAAUUGUCAGAGGUGAAAUUCUUGGAUUUAUUGAAGACUAACUACUGCGAAAGCAUUUGCCAAGGAUGUUUUCAUUAAUCAAGAACGAAAGUUAGGGGAUCGAAGACGAUCAGAUACCGUCGUAGUCUUAACCAUAAACUAUGCCGACUAGGAAUCAGACGAUGUUAAUUUUUAAUGUACUCGUUUGGCAC
rnacentral:rRNA from 1 species